rnacentral:rRNA from 1 species
ACGCACGCUGGCGGCGUGCUUAACACAUGCAAAUCGAACGGAAAGGCCCUGCUUUUGUGGGGUGCUCGAGUGGCGAACGGGUGAGUAACACGUGAGUAACCUGCCCUUGACUUUGGGAUAACUUCAUGAAACUGGGGCUAAUACCGGAUAGGAGCUCCUGCUGCAUGGUGGGGGUUGGAAAGUUUCGGCGGUUGGGGAUGGACUCGCGGCUUAUCAGCUUGUUGGUGGGGUAGUGGCUUACCAAGGCUUUGACGGGUAGCCGGCCUGAGAGGGUGACCGGCCACAUUGGGACUGAGAUACGGCCCAGACUCCUACGGGAGGCAGCAGUGGGGAAUAUUGCACAAUGGGCGGAAGCCUGAUGCAGCAACGCCGCGUGCGGGAUGACGGCCUUCGGGUUGUAAACCGCUUUCGCCUGUGACGAAGCGUGAGUGACGGUAAUGGGUAAAGAAGCACCGGCUAACUACGUG